rnacentral:rRNA from 1 species
GGGGGGGGGGGGGGGGGGGGGGGGGGGGGGGGGGGGGGGGGGGGGGGGGGGAGGGGCGUGCGGUUACGGGGGGCGGGUGGCGGGCGGGGGGGGAGGGCGGCGGGAUCUACGUUUUCGGGGGGGAUAACGUAGGGGAACUGACGAUAAUCCCGCAUACGGCCUACGGGUGAAAGCCGGGGAUCUUCGGACCUUGCGCGAUUGAAUGAGCCGAUGUCGGAUUCGCUAGUUGGCGGGGUAAAGGCCCACCAAGGCGACGAUCCGUAGCUGGUCUGAGAGGAUGAUCAGCCACACUUGAACUGAGACACGGUCCAGACUCCUACGGGAGGCAGCAGUGGGGAAUAUUGGACAAUGGGCGCAAGCCUGAUCCAGCCAUACCGCGUGGGUGAAGAAGGCCUUCGGGUUGUAAAGCCCUUUUGUUGGGAAAGAAAAGCAGCAGGUUAAUACCCCGCUGUUCUGACGGUACCCAAAGAAUAAGCACCGGCUAACUUCGUG